CCCAAGUCUCCUGGUACAUGAAUCACAAAUUCACGUACACUUAGGAAGACAACUAGCAUGUUGGCAUUUAUUGCUAGAAGAUUCAAGUACAAAAGCAGAUGCUGCUUACAGUAAUUGUGGUGAAACUGCACCUGGAAUAUUUUGUGCAGGUCCAGUCUGUCUACUAAAGGAAGGAUGUACUUCCCAAUAGGAUGUGCAACAGAGGUAUGUCCAGGUUGUUAUUCCGAGAAUUGGGGGAUUCUGAUUGAGCAAACUGGGCCUAUACUCUGGAAAUAUUCGAGAUUCUUAUGGGGGCUUGAAGGAUAGAUUCAAGGAUGAUGUUUCACCUGGCCGUGGUGAGCAGAACCAGGGGUCACAGUCUCAAAGGACUGGCCAUUCAGGACUGAGAUUAGAAGAAAUUUCUUUACUCAGAGGGAAGUGAACCUUUGGAAUUCUGUGCCCAAGAGGGUUGUGGAGGCUCAUUAACUGAGUGUAUUCAAGAUAGAGAUCAAGAGAUUUUUGGAUCUCAAGGAAAGUCAAAGUCGAGUUUAUUGUCAUGCGCACAAGUACAUGUAUGUGCAGGUACAGUGAAAAAUUUCACAGGCACAUAGCAUCAUAUCAGGAACAUUCACAAGAAAAACAUAAAUUAAACAUAAAUCAUACACAAUUUUUACAAGAAAGAACAAAAACUUUAAAACUUUAUUUAAAACUUUAAUUAUACAGCACAGUAACAGGGCCUUCCGGCCCAAUGAGCCCGCACUGCCCAUUUAAACCCAUGUUAACCUACCCGUACAUCUUUGGAAUGUGGGAGGAAACCGGAGCACCCGGAGGAAACCCAUGCAGACACGGGGAGAACGUACAAGCUCCUUACAGAUAGUGACAGGAAUUGAACCCUGGUUGCUGGUGCUGUAAUAGCAUCACACAAAGAGAUUUAAGUGGUCAUAGUGUUGCUAAACUGUAGUAGUUAGAGUUUUGCCAGUUGAUUCAAGAACCGAAUGGUUGAAGGGAAGUAGCUGCUCUUGAACCCAGUGGUGUGGGACUUCAGGCUUCUGAACCUCCUGCCCAAUGGUAGCUGUGAGAAGGUGGCAUGGCCCGGAUGGUGGGGAUCUUUGAUGACAGAUGUUGCCUUCUUGAGACAGCGCCUCCUGUAGAUAUUACGAAUGGUGUGGAGGGAUGUGCCCGUGAUGUAUUGGGCUGAGUUCACUACUCUGUAACUUCUUACUUUCCUACGCAUUCCAAUUGCCGUACCAGACCAUGAUGCAACCAGUCAGGAUACUGUCAACAGUACAUCUGUAGAAGAGUGUUCAAUGACAAACUUAACCUCCUUAACCUAAGAAAGUAAAGACUCCGGCACACCUUCCUUGUGAAUGUAAUCGAGGGAUAUGGAGUUGGUGUAGGAAUGUGGCACUAAGGAUCAAACUUCUGGAAAUCCAUAUCCAACCAGCACAGUGGGAAUGCCUUCACAGACUGCAACAAUCCAAGAAGAAUUUUCACCACCACCUUCUCAAGACCAACUGGACACAUAUGAUGAGUGCUGGCCUUGCCAGAAAAGCACAAAUUCCAAGAUUUAAAAGAAAUAUAUUUAUCUUCUACUUUUCCUCUUUCCAAGAAUAAAGAUUAUGCAUGUUACAGCAACACCCUCCGGGAUCUUCUCAUAUUACUGAACGUUAUAUCUUUGGAGAGAACUUUCAAGAGGUUGAAAUAGAGUCACAGAAUUUCAUGGCAUGGAAACAGGCCCUUCCACACUUCGAGCAGAGAGAUAAGUACAAGAUAUCAUGGCAGCACCCCCACUUCAGACACUGAGACCUGUUAGGUUCCAUCAUCACCUGAGCCAGAAGUUGCCGGAUGUCUGCAUCAUCUGCUCACGACAAGUGACUACAACUGCUGGACUGACCCCCACUGAUCCACUUUGUCAUUUCCAUCAAUCUGGACCCAAAAAAACAGCAGGAAUCGAAACACUGCAGCAAGCAAAUCAAUCUCAAUCUUGAAGACCCUGCAAAGAAAGAAGUUCUUGUUCGACUCACAUUCACCCCAACCAACAGAAGCCUUGGCGUGUCCACUUGCCCUGAAAUCAACCAUAAUUCGCAUCCAUGAAGGGACCAAAAGCUCAGUAAGAGAAGCGGUUCAACCAUGGAUUACAGGGAAAUUAAAAAUAGUAUUAAAUGUAAGAGAAAGGCUUAUAAAAUUCCCAGAAAAAUAUUGUAAACCUGAGGUUUGGGAAUGUUUUAGAAUUCCAUAGAACCAUAGAACCAUAGAACAAUACAGGCCCUUUGGCCCACCAUGUUGUGCUGACCUUUAAACCACGCCUAAGACUAACUAACCCCUUCCUCCCACAUAUCCCCCUAUUUUAAAUUCCUCCAUAUGCUUAUCUAACAGUUUCUUGAACUUGACCAACGUAUCAGCCUCCGCCACCACCCCAGGCAGCACAUUCCAUGCACCAACCACUCUCUAGGUCAAAAACCUCCCUCUGACAUCUCCCUUGAACUUCCCACCCAAUACCUUAAAGCCAUGCCCUCUUGUACUGAGCAUUGGUGCCCUGGGAAAGAGGCGCUGGCUGUCCACUCUAUCUAUUCCUCAAUAUUUUGUACACCUCUAUCAUGUCUCUCUUCAUCCUCCUUCUCUCCAAAGAGUAAAGCCCCAGCUCCCUUAGUUUCUCCUCAUAAUCCAUACUCUCCAAUCCAGGCAGCACCCUGGUAAAUCUCCUCUGCACCCUUUCCAACGCUGCCACAUCCUUCCUAUAAUGAGGCAGCCAGAACUGGACACAGUACUCCAAGUGUGGUCUAACCAGAGUUUUGUAAAGCUGCAUCAUUACCUUGCAGCUCUUAAACUCGAUCCCUCGACUUAUGAAAGCUAACAUCCCAUAAGCUUUCUUAACUACCCUAUCCACCUGUGAGGCAACUUUCAGUGAUCUGUGGAUAUGAACGCCCAGAUCCCUCUGCUCCUCCACAUUCUCCAGAAUCCUGCCAUUAACCUCAUACUCCGCCUUGGAGUUUGUCCUUCCAAAGUGUACCACCUCACACUUCUCCGGAUUGAACUCCAUCCGCCACUUCUCAGCUCAGCUCAGCUCUGCAUCCUAUCAAUGUCCCUCUGUAAGCUUCGACAGCCCUCCACAAUUCAGCAAACGAUGACGAAGAAAUUGAUAAAGGUAAAAUGGAUUAUGAGAGUUAAACUAGCAGGAAACAAAAAACAGACUGUAAGAGCUUCUAUAACAAGAGGAAAUGGCCAGCCGGAACAAAUGUAGUUCCCUUACAGAUAAGGGAGAAUUUAUAAGGGGAGUUAGGAUAUGGCAGAGGAAUUAAACAAAUACUCUGUGUCGAACUUCACAGAAGGCCCCAAAAAUCCUUCCAGCAGCAAUGAAGAAUCAAGGAUCCGGUGCAAAUGAGAAAAUAAAAGAAAUAAAUAUUAGUAAAAAAAAUUAAAGACAUUAUUGAAUCUGAAAUCUGAUAAAUCCCAAGGAGAUGAUAAUCUACAUUCAAGAGUUCUGAAGGAGAUGGUUAUAGGAAUAAUAAUCUGUUUAUUUUUUCCCAAAAUUUUACAGAUACUGGAAUGGUUCCUGCAGAUUAGUGGGUAGAAAAUGUGACCCCAGUAUUUAAGAAAGGAAGGAGAGCAAACACAGGGAAUUGCCAACAUGUUAGCUUGAUAUUGGCAGUUGCAAAAUUGCUGGAAUCUACAAUAAAGAACGUGAUAUCAAGACACUUAGAAGAUAAUAAUAUGGUUGAGCAGAGUCGACAUGGAUUUGUGAAUGUUUGUCUAAUCUAACGGAGUCCUUUAAGAAUUCAUCCAGCAGAGUAAAUGAGGAGAUUUAUUUUGAUUUUCAGUGGCUUUUAAUGAAGGAACAAUGUCAGAGAACAUUGGGGUUAAUGCACUAGCAUGGAUUG